rnacentral:rRNA from 1 species
AGCGAACGCUGGCGGCAGGCCUAACACAUGCAAGUCGAGCGGACCAUUCGGGGUUAGCGGCGGACGGGUGAGUAACGCGUGGGAACGUGCCUUCCGGUUCGGAAUAACCCUGGGAAACUCGUGCUAAUACCGGCUAUGAUCCCACGGGGGAAGGUUUACUGCCGGAAGAUCGGCUCGCGACCGAUUAGCAUGGUGGUGGGGUAACGGCCUUCAAAGGCGGCGAUCAGUAGCUGGUAUGCGAGGAUGGUCUGCAAUACUGGGGCAGGGACAAGGCCCAAACUCCGGCGGAAGGGAGCAGGGGGGAAUAAGGGACGAUGGGCGCAAGCAGGAGGCAGCCAGGCCGCGUAGGUGAUGAAGGCCGGAGGGUGGUAAAGCUCUUUUAACCGGGACGAUAAGGACUGAACCGGAGGAAUAAGCCCCGGCAAACUUCGG